AUUGUUUGGAGAGUUUGAUCCUGGCUCAGGACGAACGCUGGCGGCGUGCUUAACACAUGCAAGUCGAGCGGAAAGGCCCUUCGGGGUACUCGAGCGGCGAACGGGUGAGUAACACGUGAGCAACCUGCCCCUGACUCUGGGAUAAGCCCGGGAAACUGGGUCUA
rnacentral:rRNA from 1 species